rnacentral:piRNA from 1 species
UGGGUAGCUUGUAUUGCGAAAACACUUGUU